rnacentral:rRNA from 1 species
UACGUAGGGUGCAAGCGUUGUCCGGAAUUAUUGGGCGUAAAGAGCUCGUAGGCGGUUUGUUGCGUCGGCUGUGAAAUCCCGAGGCUCAACCUCGGGUCUGCAGUCGAUACGAGCAAACUAGAGUGUUGCAGGGGAGACUGGAAUUCCUGGUGUAGCGGUGAAAUGCGCAGAUAUCAGGAGGAACACCGGUGGCGAAGGCGGAUCUCUGGGCCGAUACUGACGCUGAGGAGCGAAAGCGUGGGGAGCGAACAGG